GACGCGCACCAAGACACCCAGCACAGCGCGGCGGGUUCGGGAGAGGGAGGAAUGGCACGCGGGCGCAUGGAGCGAGGGUUUCGUGGACGGGGUGAAGUCUCCACACCCAGGAUGCUCGUGCGGCGCAGAGGACGCGGAGACAUGUGUAUCCUACAUGCUGGCCCGAGUGUCGCUGGGCUGCCCCUCCUGCUAUCGCAGGCGCCUAAACUGGCCCCCACCUUUCCACUCGCGCCCUUUCCCGGAGAGGAACGUGCCGCCUGUCUUCGCAGGGAGGAGGGGCCCCCAUGGCGUCCCCAGGCCCAGGAGCAGCGUCUCACUAUUGGUUCCUUGACUGAGUAAGUCUCACAGCUUCAGAGAAAGACCUGUAGGGUUUACAGUGCCUACAGGUGAGUGCAAGGGUCUCUGCAGAAGAACCAGCAUGCAGUCAGAAAGCCACUUCUAUCAGAGCCCUGAAGAAGGAAUGGGAUUCAGGUAAGAAGAGAGCAGGGCAGGGAUAUGCUUUCAGAUAGGAGGAAGAGCAGGUGUGACGACCUAGGGGAAGAACAGUCAGAGGGAGCAAGAGAGAAAAUAUGAGUGCAUCUGGAGAACAAGUCAGGGGUGUUCAAAGGACACUUUAAGGACUCUGAGUUGUAUCUUAUAUAAGGUGAAAUUUGAUGUAGGAUUUUUAGCAGGGAAAUAAGAUGUUCUGCAUAGGGAAUCAUGUCGUCUGUGGACAAAGUUGUAUUUCUCCCUUAUCAAUUUAUAUACCUUUUCUUUCCUUUUCAUGUCUUAUUGCAUUACCUAGGACCUCCAGUACAAUGUUGAAAAGGGGUGAGAAGGGUAUCCUUGCCUUGUCCCUGUUGGUGGCAGGGUGGCAUCUAGUUUUUCACCAUUAAGUAUGAUGUUGUUGUUGUUUUUCAGUUGCUGAGUCAUCUCUCUUUGUGAACCCAUGGACUGCAUCAUGCCAGGCUCCUCUGUCAUCCCCUGUCUCCCAGAGUUUGUUCAAAUUCAUGCCCGCUGAGUUGGUGGUGCUCUCUAACCAUCUCAUCCUCUGCUGCCCCCUUCUCCUUUUGCNNNNNNNNNNNNNNNNNNNNNNNNNNNNNNNNNNNNNNNNNNNNNNNNNNNNNNNNNNNNNNNNNNNNNNNNNNNNNNNNNNNNNNNNNNNNNNNNNNNUCUAACCAUCUCAUCCUCUGCUGCCCCCUUCUCCUUUUGCUGUCAAUCUUUCCCAGCAUCAGUGUCUUUUCCAGUGAUUGGACUCUUCACAUCAGGUGACCAAAGUCUUAGAGUUUCAACUCCAACAUCAGUCCUUCCGAUGAAUAUUCAGGGUUGAUUCUCUUUAGGAUUGUCUGGUCUGAUUUCCUUGCAGUCCAAUGGACUCCCAAGAGUCUUCUCCAGAACCAUUCCAGUAUGAUGUUAGCUAUAGGUUUUCUGCAGGUGUUCUUUAUCAGGUUGAAGAAGUUCCCUUCUCUUCCUAGUUUGGUGACAGUUUUAUCAUGAAUUUGCGAUUUUUACUGGAUUUUGUCAAAUGCUUUUUCUGUAGCUAUUAAUAUGACCAUAUGAUUUUUCUUUUAGUUUGUCAAUGUGAUGGGUUACAUCCACUGACUUUUGAAGCACAAUGAGAUUUUUUAAAGGGUAUUUUAACUGCUAUGAGGAGAAGAGAUGGAAGUGGGGUGGGAGUGAGGAAACAAAAGUGGGAUUGUGGAGAUCAGUUUAAAAAUGCCUGGAUAAACCAUAGUGAGAGAUGAUGAAGACAUGAACCAGGCAAUGUAAGUAAGAAAUGAUGUGGGAAGGACACACUUGCUGUGAUUUUUUCAGUGGGUCAUGGGGGAGAGACAAAGAGGAGAGGAUGCCAAUGAAUCCCAGGUCUCUGCAGCUGGGUGGGUGGGUGGUGCUUCUGGGAGGCCACUGAAUGGUACGUGGACACUGCCAAGUGUGGGCUAGCUCCGGAAUGUGAGGUUCUAUGACUUCAGCAAGAGCAGUUACAGUGGCGGGGGAUAGAGACACAGCUGGGCAGCAGAGUCAACUGAAGGUUGAGACUGACCUUUGAUGGAGGUGGGGACUGACUUUGUGGUCAACUCUUUUGAGAAGUUUGGGUGUAAAAGAGAUGAAAGGAACAGGGCUGGAGGAGGAGAGAUGGUUUCUGGGAAGAUCUUGGUGUAUGGUUAGAAAGACCAGAGCUGCUUGACACUGCUGGGAAGCUGAGGUAGAGAACAAGGUCAUGAUGAGACCUAAUCAAGGACAGUAUUCUGGACAUUCCCUCUCUCAUACACCAUCUAUUGUUAAAUAGACUUAAUUUUUUUAGAGUAGUUUUAGGUUCACAGAAAGAUUGAGGGAAAGGUACAGAGAUUUCCUAUAUGCCCUCUUCUGCUACAUGUGCACAUCCUCCCCU
rnacentral:lncRNA from 1 species